CACUGGAAUCUGAUCUCUAGUGUGUAGAGACUGCGGAACUGGGAGAGGCGCAGGCAAACUGGUUUCGUCCUCAAGGCGAUUCCGGCCUCCGGGAGUCGCGGCGGGGUCUGCGGCAAGGCCGGCCCGGAGCAGGACGGGGCCUGGACCUGCAGGGCGGGCCCUUCUCCAGCGGGGACUGCCCUUCACCCUCCCGAGGACGCCGCGGGUCCCCCGAGUCCCGCUCCCCGUCCCAGAUCACGCCCUGCUGUCUCUGGGCCCAUUUUCUUUUCACAGAGGCGGCGAGGACGGGAGUUUAACUCGGUGUAAUCCGGCAACCAGCAAGAUUAACAUCUUAAAUGUCUUUCCAUCAUCUUCCACAUCCUCCCUGCCGAGUUUGCUGUCAUUCCUAGCAGUGCACCGCUGAAGGCAUUUUGUGUCUGUCAGUUAGAUUCUGAUGCCUGAGGUGCGGUUUUCUCUGUGACGCUCUGGCUGAAGGCCUGCCAGCUCUGAAUCUGCUAGUCGAUCCUUUCUGUUAACUUGAGAGACUCCGUGGCCCUCACCUCCUCCACUCGUGGCUGUGCAGUAGUCCCGCUCCUCUGGUCCAGGCGGUCAGCACUGCAGUUUCCAGGCCUCCCCACCUGGAAGCCAGUGGGAAUUUUAACAUCACCCACAGGAUGGUGCUGUUCCAGGCUGUGGUCUGGUGAGAGAAGAAGAGACUAUGAAGAAAGAUGAACACGGGUUUAAAGCCAUGUCCUUCCCUUACUAGUCUGUGGACUUGGCAAGUUCCUUAGAAUGCCAACUUCAUAAACACGGUGGGGUUUACAUUAAAUUAAAAUAAUCCAUGUACAAUACCCUGUAAUACUUGUUUCAUCACCUUCCCUGAGGACAGGGACCGGUGCUCUCAUCACAGCAUUCAGCAU